CUACAGACCGACAGACAUACAGACAGUACCAAUAAGGAGACAGACAAACAAAAUACCUUCUCAAACACUGAAAGACCGACAGCUUUUAAAUAGCCGAGAGAGGAAACAGCACAGUGAUUAAGCAUAAUUUAGGGUUUACAGGGUGGAGUUGUGGGGGUGGAGAGGGUGGAGGUGGGCGUGGCGUGAGAUGUGGAUGGGUGGAAGAGAUAGGUGGGGAAGGGUGGAAGGUGGAGUACAGGGAAGGGGUGGAUUGGUGGAUGGGUAGGUGGAUGGGGUUUGUGGAUGGGUUAGUGGAUGGGCUGGUGGAAGUUAAGGAAGGAAGUGGAAGGUACGAAGUGGAGUGUGGAUUUUAGGAUGGAUGGGUGGAUUAUUUAGUGGGUGUUAACAGAAUUUUGAAGAUAAUGGAUGAAAAAGAAUAUGGAUGAUGGGAAAUGAAAGACUCUCUCUCUCUCUCUCUCUCUCUCUCUCUCUCUCUCUCUCUCUCUCUCUCUCUCUCUCUCUCUCUCUCUCUCUCUCUCUCUCUCUCUCUCUUUCCUCUCACAUUUUUCUCCCUUUCCUUUUUGACUUUUUUUUACUCUGGCAAUUUUCGCUUUUUUUGUCCUCGUUUGGAAGACAAUUAUGGCUUAUUAAUCUCUCUCUCUCUCUCUCUCUCUCUCUCUCUCUCUCUCUCUCUCUCUCUCUCUCUCUCUCUCUCUCUCUCUCUCUCAAAUAUUCCCCUCAGACUCGUACCCGAACCUUUAACCCACACACACACACACACACACACACACACACACACACACACACACACA